GAUGAAGAACGUAGUGAAAUGCGAUACGUAGUGUGAAUUGCAGAAUUCAGUGAAUCAUCGAAUCUUUGAACGCACAUUGCACCUCUCGGUAUUCCGGGAGGUAUGCCUGUUCGAGCGUCAUUUGUACCCUCAAGCUCUGCUUGGUGUUGGGUGUUUGUUCCGCCUCUGUGUGUGAACUCGCCUCAAAACAAUUGGCAGCCGGCGUACUUGUUUCGGAGCGCAGCACAUUUUGCGAUCCAGAUCAACGUACAGCGGCAUCCAAGAAGCCUUAUUUAACGCUCUUGACCUCGGAUCAGGUAGGGAUACCCGCUGAACUUAAGCAUAUCAAUAGCGGAGGA
rnacentral:misc_RNA from 1 species